rnacentral:rRNA from 1 species
GACGAACGCUGGCGGCGUGCUUAACACAUGCAAGUCGAACGGUGAACCUCUUCGGAGGGGAUCAGUGGCGAACGGGUGAGUAACACGUGGGCAACCUGCCCCCGGCUCUGGGAUAACUCCAAGAAAUUGGGGCUAAUACCGGAUGUUCACCGCUUCCCGCAUGGGUGGUGGUGGAAAGGGUUUCCGGCUGGGGAUGGGCCCGCGGCCUAUCAGCUUGUUGGUGGGGUAGUGGCCUACCAAGGCGACGACGGGUAGCCGGCCUGAGGGGGUGACCGGCCACCCGGGGAAUGGGACAAAGCCCAGCCUCCCACGGGGGGCAGCAGGGGGGAAUUUUGGGCAAGGGGCGGGAGCCUGCCGCAGCGACGCCGGGGGGGGGAAGACGGCCUUGGGGUUGUAAACCUCUUUCAGCAGGGACGAAGCGAAAGUGACGGGACCUGGAGAAGAAGCACCGGCCAACUACGU